UUACGGGAGGCAGCAGUGGGGAAUAUUGCGCAAUGGGCGAAAGCCUGACGCAGCCAUGCCGCGUGUGUGAAGAAGGCCUUCGGGUUGUAAAGCACUUUCAGAGGGGAGGAAAGGGCGCUGGCUAAUAUCCAGCGCAGUUGACGCUACCCUCAGAAGAAGCACCGGCUAAUUCCGUGCCAGCAGCCGCGGUAAUACGGAAGGUGCGAGCGUUAAUCGGAAUUACUGGGCGUAAAGCGCGCGUAGGCGGCUUGGUAAGUCGGGUGUGAAAGCCCCGGGCUCAACCUGGGAGCUGCAUUCGAUACUGCUGGGCUAGAGCACGAGAGAGGGGGGUGGAAUUCCAGGUGUAGCGGUGAAAUGCGUAGAGAUCUGGAGGAACACCAGUGGCGAAGGCGGCCCCCUGGUUCGAUACUGACGCUGAGGUGCGAAAGCGUGGGGAGCAAACAGGAUUAGAUACCCGUGU
rnacentral:rRNA from 1 species